AAAAUAAAUAAAAUAAAUAAAAAGCUAAUAUCACUGAGUUUUACUUAUUUGCUUUGAACAAAGUUCAAAUACACAUCCCCCUCCAUUCCUUUCUGCUCAGUAUUACAUAUACAGACAGAAAUGCACAUACAAGAUGUGGCAUGUGCUUGGAUCCCCUAAAAGUAAAACAUAAUUCAUCAACAUUUUAGAGGAAAGCCCUGAUUUGUUUUCAUGUGUUUUCUUUCCCAGACAAGGCUAUUAUUGGCGUCUACCAAAGGCCACCAGAUGAGAGUGGUUGGAGAUGGAGAGAUGCAGAAAAAGGGAAGAACUGGAUGUCAGUUAUUCUUUCUUAUGCUCAUCUCUCUCCUCUUCUUUAAUCUCCAGUUGGCACUUGAAGAUUAUUCCAUAACUGAACAGGACGGAAAGAGGGGAGCUAUUGUACGUAUCAGAAGCUUCAUUCGACGGUCAUAAUGGAGAUGCUGCUGGUGACAAUGCUUUCGACAUUCUUCCCCAUAAUACACCGAUAGAGCCAAACUUUAGAAAGUCUCCAACUCUCUGAUGAAUAAGGUCUUUAAACAAAUGAAAAAUAAGAAAGCAUCUGGAAAUGAUAUCAUCCCUGCCAAAUUUUCAUGCUGGAGGAAAAAUGACUCAUGUAAUCUCCCUGUAUUCUCUUCUUGAGAAACAAGAAUAAAAGAGAAAAUGACAUAUGACUCUAGGGAUAU
rnacentral:lncRNA from 1 species